CCUCUGGGGUGCGGGGUGCACCCCCAACUGACGACACCUACUAUCCGCCCAACCCGUGCUAAAGGCAUCUCCUCGCCUGCCCCCAGCUGCCCUCUCCAGGCCUGCGAGCUCCUUGCCGGGAGGGGCGGGUUGACUGUCCCCAGCUGGCAGCCACGUCCUCCUGGUCCUGGGGUCCCAGGUGCCCUCCCCUCUCUCAGGACGCCUUGAACCAGUCAUCACCCUGGGUCCUGGAGCACGGGUUGGGGAUGAGGGUUCAGGCAGGUGCUCUCUGGGGUCUCCUUCCUCCAUCUGACAUUCGAGACCUUUUUAAUUCUAAGGGAGACUGAUUAGCCCCGAGGGAGAAAUGGAAGUGACCUGUGUGGGCUGCUCCCCAGAGGCUGCCGAGGAUGGGGAGUGAGGGCGUGAGACUCGGGAAGCUCUCUCUGCUGCUCUGCACCCUCCGUGGGGGGCUCAGGGAGGGAUCCCCAUGCCCCCCCCCCCGACUCGCUGAGCGCAUGGGCUCCGGGGAGGUGGCAGAGGCAGCUGUGCGUUUCGGGACUGCAAAGCAGGAGGUGAGACUUGGACACGGAAUCGUUCAGGACCUGUCAGCUGCAGACCUGCCUAAGCUCAUUGUCAAACGUGAGGAAUGAAGGGUCUCUCUCAGGCAGGCGCCGUCAGGUGGAGAGAUUUUCCUGUGGCCUCCAGUGACCUUGGCAUGGCCAGCUCCCGUCGCUGCCUCAGUGGGGUGUGAGAAAUCAGACCUGAACACACUGCAGGAAGCAGGAAGGCCCUGGAGGAGGUGACUGAGGAGUGGAGGUUGAAAGCAGAAGUCGGCUGGGCCUGGGUGGUGGCAGAGGAGGCAAUGACAUGGUGAAAUUCAAGACACGCCUCCAAGGUGGACCCAGUGGAACCCUGGCAUGCGUUAGGGAGAAGAUGAGAGAAAAAGUGGUCAAGGGACUCUUGAGAGUCUGGUUGAACACCUCAUCUUUAGGACUCCGACCCCCUACCCUGAAUUGCCCACACCCAGUGGGCCACCUGCCUCCCCUCCCUGGCUACCUUCAUCAGACACACUGUCUAGGUGUACCGUCCGUCUGUAGCACAGAGGGGGCAGCCCUGGCGAGAGCGACAGCUGCCAUCUCCUCCCACGCCCUUCCAUCUGACCUCAGAAUGGGGAGGCACAGAGACCGAAGAGGUCAGAGUAGGAAUUCUCUGGAUCCUGGGCUCUCAGGCCACCGAGUGCGACGCCCUCUGUUCGCUCCAUGACUUUGGGAAAGUUUGUCAAACAUUCCCUCCUCCAGGUCCCCACCUGCACAUGGGAAUCCUACUGACCGCUGAUUAUCAUGUGAUUCUUACUCUUUGCACCUUCUUAGCCCUUUCAGGGUUCACAGUCACACACUUCCUCCAGGGCUGAGUGAAGGGAUGGGUGGGCUGAGCACUUGGGACAGGCACAGAGGAGGCAUUUGAUAAAGGUUUGCGGUGAUGUUUGUUUUUCCUUA